CAGUCGCCACGGUAAUACGAAGGGUGCAAGCGUUAAUCGGAUUUACUGGGCGUAAAGCGUGCGUAGGUGGCUGUUUAAGUCGGAUGUGAAAGCCCUGGGCUUAACCUGGGAACUGCAUUCGAUACUGGAUAGCUAGAGAUCGGUAGAGGGCAGCGGAAUUCCGGGUGUAGCGGUGAAAUGCGUAGAUAUCCGGAGGAACACCGAUGGCGAAGGCAACUGCCUGGGCCUGAUCUGACACUGAGGCACGAAAGCGUGGGUAGCAAACAGGAUUAGAGACCCCAGUAGUCCCUGUCUCUUAUAC
rnacentral:rRNA from 1 species